UGAGGAAUAUUGCACAAUAGGCGCAAGCCUGAUGCAGCAACGCCGCGUGGGCGAUGAAGGCCUUCGGGUUGUAAAGUCCUUUUCUGGGGGAAGACCUGGACGGUACCCCAGGAAUAAGUGUCGGCUAACUACGUGCCAGCAGCCGCGGUAAAACGUAGGACGCGAGCGUUAUCCGGAUUUACUGGGCGUAAAGCGCGUGCAGGCGGUUGGUUAAGUCGUGCGUGAAAGCUCCCUGGCUCAACCGGGAGAGGUCGUACGAAACUAGCCGACUAGAGGGCAGCAGAGGGGUGUGGAAUUCCGGGUGUAGUGGUGAAAUGCGUAGAUAUCCGGAGGAACACCAGUGGCGAAGGCGACACCCUGGGCUGUACCUGACGCUAAGACGCGAAAGCAUGGGUAGCGAACGG
rnacentral:rRNA from 1 species